AUACGGAAGAUGCGAGCGUUAUCCGGGUUUAUUGGGUUUAAAGGGAGCGUAGGCGGGAGCUUAAGUCUGCGGUCAAAUGUCGGCGCCCAACGCCGUCAAGCCGUGGAAACUGGGUUUCUUGAAUGCGGUCAAGGGAGGCGGAACUCGCCAUAUAGCGGUGAAAUGCUUAGAUAUGGCGAAGAACCCCGAUUGCGAAGGCAGCCUCCUGGCCCGUGAUUGACGCUGAGGCUCGAAAGCGCGGGUAUCGAACAGGAUUAGAUACCCUGGUAGUCCGCGCCGUAAACGAUGAGUGCUGGUCGUUGGCGACACAAUGUCAGGGACUGAGCGAAAGCAUUAAGCACUCCACCUGGGGAGUACGCCGGCAACGGUGAAACUCAAAUGAAUUGGCGGGG
rnacentral:rRNA from 1 species